GGUCCUCCGGGGACAGCGGGACUCCCUGGAGAGCUUGGCCGUGUGGGACCUAGUGGUGACCCUGGGCGGAGAGGACCACCUGGACCUCCUGGCCCCCCUGGACCCAGUGGAACAAUUGGCUUUCAUGAUGGAGAUCCACUG